CCGACUCGGGGAGGUAGUGACAAUAAAUAACAAUACAGGGCUUACAGUCUUGUUAUUGGAAUGAGAACAAUUUAAAUCCCUUUACGAGGAUCAAUUAGAGGGCAAGUCUGGUGCCAGCAGCCGCGGUAAUUCCAGCUCUAAUAGCGUAUAUUAAAGUUGUUGCAGUUAAAAAGCUCGUAGUCGGAUGUCGGGCUCGGGGGGGCUGUCGGCCUAGGUCAGGCGGCCGUUCCGGGUCUUUCUGCCUGGGGAUCCUAUUCUUCUUAACUGAAGGGUAGUGGGACGCAGGUCGUUUACUUUGAAAAAUUAGAGUGUUCAAAGCAGGCCUACGCUUGAAUACAUUAGCAUGGAAUAAUGGAAUAGGACUUUGGUCUUAUUUGUUGGUUUAUGGGACCGAAGUAAUGAUUAACAGGGACAGUUGGGGCCGUUUAUAUUUCGUUGUCAGAGGUGAAAUUCUUGGAUUUACGAAAGAUAAACUUCUGCGAAAGCAUUCGGCAAGGAUGUUUUCAUUGAUCA
rnacentral:rRNA from 1 species